GAAAGAUGGUUUCGGCUAUCGCUUACAGAUGGGCCCGCGGUGCAUUAGCUAGUUGGUAGGGUAAUGGCCUACCAAGGCAACGAUGCAUAGCCGACCUGAGAGGGUGAUCGGCCACACUGGGACUGAGACACGGCCCAGACUCCUACGGGAGGCAGCAGUAGGGAAUCUUCCGCAAUGGACGAAAGUCUGACGGAGCAACGCCGCGUGUAUGAAGAAGGUUUUCGGAUCGUAAAGUACUGUUGUUAGAGAAGAACAAGGAUAAGAGUAACUGC
rnacentral:rRNA from 1 species